CGGACGGGUGAGUAAUGUCUGGGAAACUGCCUGAUGGAGGGGGGUAACUACUGGAAACGGUAGCUAAUACCGCAUAACGUCGCAAGACCAAAGAGGGGGACCUUCGGGCCUCUUGCCAUCGGAUGUGCCCAGAUGGGAUUAGCUAGUAGGUGGGGUAAAGGCUCACCUAGGCGACGAUCCCUAGCUGGUCUGAGAGGAUGACCAGCCACACUGGAACUGAGACGCGGUCCAG
rnacentral:rRNA from 1 species